UACGAAGGUGGCUAGCGUUGUUCGGAUUUACUGGGCGUAAAGCGCACGUAGGCGGCUUGUUAAGUCAGGGGUGAAGUCCCGGAGCUCAACUCCGGAACUGCCUUUGAUACUGGCAAUCUUGAGGCUGGAAGAGGUUAGUGGAAUUCCCAGUGUAGAGGUGAAAUUCGUAGAUAUUGGGAAGAACACCAGUGGCGAAGGCGGCUAACUGGUCCAGAUCUGACGCUGAGGUGCGAAAGCGUGGGGAGCAAACAGG
rnacentral:rRNA from 1 species